rnacentral:sRNA from 1 species
UAAAACAAAUAAUAGUCGGUGACAUAAA